GAAGGCGUUUCUUUAGAGGAACGUGACUGGAAAAACAGACAGUGAAGUGCACAUACUUUUGAUUUGGAUGUGUGAAUCCACAGUUACAGAACACAUGUACUGGCACUGGGAGCUCCUGUGCACAGUAUUCUGCUGUGGGCUGUCACAUGUGGCGGCAUGUGAGCAUUAGCAGCAGCCAUGGCAGGAAGGAGCUGCUCUGUUCUCAGCUGUUCGGCCCAGGACUGACUGUUCUGGCCCCCGCCCUCCUCCUCCUCUCACCCACCGGACUCUCUCUGGACACCUCUCCCUUCCUCUGCUGGCUACUGCUGCAACAUCGCAUUCUCUGUACAAGCAAACAAUGGUCUUUCACAUUUUCAUUGUGUUUAUUGUACAGUAUCAUCGAGGCAUGCAUACUAUACUACUGCACUGUAAAGUAGACUUUACAGAUAAUGGAUGAUGCAGUAGUCAGAGUAAACAUACCAUUCGUUUAAGUGCAAUGAGCAGAUAAACAGGGUGUUUCUCUCAAUGAGCCACAAUAGUUCACAUCACUUUGGCGCCAUCUGUUGGCCCUGAAAAGUGAGUGAACUGAACAUGACGUGCGUGAGAAGUGCAAGUGCUGUGCGUCAGGAUCAGUAUGGUCAGGCCGCGCCCCCUGUCGGUAAUCAUGUGAGUUGCUGAAAUACAUAAACUAAGCGGCUAUGUCAGGCAUUUAAACUAACAUCUGACUAGACCAGCUGUCAGCGUGUAGUAGUCCACGCUGCAUUUUCACAGGGGUUUCAAAUGCACCACAGUCACAAUUGGCUCAUUCUAAUCUCCUUUUAAAACUGCCAAUCAUUAUAGAAAAAAUCCUAAACAAGAGUGGCAUCAUUUUUUUUUCUUUUUCCGGGAGCUUGAAUCACUGCAGGACUUUGGCCCCUAAAUUAUGCUGUGUCUAGUAAAACAAUAAGGGAUGCUCAGCAGUGCUCAGUCAGUCCGUAACGGAAAGAUGCACAGGUGACUUCUCUGCAGUCAUGCCAGUUUUAAGUCGCUGGGACCGAAAGUCUGUGUCUCAACUGGUGCAACAUUAUCAAAGUUGUUCUGACUUGAGGAGCAUUGAAAAUGAUAACAAAACACAGGAGGCAGAGCUUGAGGACAGCAGAUGGAGGAGGGACCAUGUGGACCACUUCAGAGUGGGACACAGUUUGUCCCGGAGUCGAUCCAUGGAUGUAUUACCUCAGAGAGAGGUGUCCAGCACCAAAGCCCUGUGUGCUCUGUUUGAGUCAAAAAGAUUCAUGCAGAAUUCCUCCAGCCUGCAACACAUUAACACACCAUCAGGGGGCGCUCUAAUGAACUGGAAGAAGCACAAGACCCAAAAUAAUCAAAGUGGUGUUGAUAUGGUGGAGGGAAGAGCCAUGAAUGGACACCCAGAGUCUCACAACAGAGGAUCAAGACUCUUAAAGGAUGAUAAAAAUUGUGUAUUAGUGACUAAAGGAUCACCAGUCCAAGGCAGAAACCGGAUACCCACUUCCUCGUCUGUGAGAGACCGCUCCGCUCUGUAUCUGUCCCAGGAAGCAGACGCCACAGGAGGCUCUGAGCAGCUCGUGAGUGCUACACAUGCCUUUCAUUCCCCACCACACUGAGGUUAAGGACUGCAAAGGGCCAAAUAGCACUGCUACACACAAUAGAGCCAGGGUUAUACUAUAAGACCCAUAUGACUUAGUAUAAGAGCUCUUUUUCCACGUAACCUUGCUGAAUGGAAUAGCCUUCCAGGAGAAGUGGUUUUGAGUUUGACUCUGGACAUCUUCAAAAGGCAAAACUACUACUGUAGUCUCACUAGCACUCUACCCCUUCCCCACUGGCGUGAU
rnacentral:lncRNA from 1 species